CCUGCAGGUCCACUAAAAGACAGACGCCUCAAUAUAAAGUUGUAAAUUCAGUCGUAUUUUUUUAAUCAGAGAAUCACUGAAACGAGUUAUGAGAGCGAAUCAAAUUACUGAUAGUUCGUUUUAAAUAUAUAUAAUUUUUCAACCGUGGAAAGAGAAUGAGUGGAGAUAGCUUGCGCUGAGAAUCCGUGUGUAAAGAUAGACGCACUUUUAGGACGCACAACAUAAUAGCCGUUUCAACUGACUCCACAAGAUAUCAGCCAUGGAUUUUUACAUCAACACGGACUAAAGUUCGUUCUCGAAGAGGUCCGACCCGCUCCUCUCCGGCCCUGUCCCAUACCAGCCCGAAUAGUACAGCAGGUGGAAGAUGGCAGAGAGAGUGACUUGGUGGAGAGCGUUUAUGGGGAGCAGUAAGAGAAGUAGCAGUGGUACCAAGGACAUCACCACAGCCACUCAGCUCCCCGACACAGUGAAGGACCCUCUGACGCCCCACGCGCAGGGACUCCUAGCUACACCACACUCAACAGCCUCCAAACUUCCAACCAACCAACAGCCACCAGCAUCACCACAACCACCAGCAUCACA